UCUGGGUUCACUCGGAAAAUAUUUUAAGUAUAAAAGAUAAAUUUGCCUAUGGCAGAAAUAGUUUGUUGAUGUGGCAUUUUCUGUGUUACUAUUUUAUGCAUUUGUGUAAGCGGAAAAGAAUAUUGUUAGAACAACAGAGAUUUCAAUCUUAAUUGUUGAUAUACUUCAGUACCAAUGUUAAUUUUCACCUAUUUUUACAGCCUGGGUAGAAGGGGAGCUUCGUCAUGACCGCCUGCUAGCACCACAUUAUAGAUACUAUGUCAGAGAAAUGCGAAUUCUUGCAUACACACAGUUGUUAGAGUCUUACCGUUCUCUCACUCUGCAGUAUAUGGCAACAGCUUUUGGAGUUUCAACAGAGUUUAUUGACAGGGAACUGUCUCGUUAUAUUGCUGCUGGUCGACUUCACUGCAAGAUUGACAAAGUUGGUGGGAUUGUUGAAACUAACAGACCAGAUUCCAAGAACUGGCAGUACCAAGCAGUAAUCAAGCAUGGUGAUAUUCUUUUAAACAGAGUCCAGAAGCUCAGCAGAGUUAUUAACAUUUAGUGAAAUAUAUGAUUUAAGUGUAUGAGAGUACAAUGCAAUGGAAGUGUAAAGUAUCUUCACUAUAUUCAUUGAACUUUUAUUUUCUCAGAAUGUACGAGGUGAUGUACUGGUCUGGUUUUAUUUAAUAAAAUGUUGGUUAGAUUA